rfam:Apaloderma vittatum contig2169, whole genome shotgun sequence.
GGCCGGUUAGCUCAGUCAGUUGAGCGUGGCGCUAGCAACGCUAAGGUCACGAGUUCGAUUCCUGUUCGGUCU